AUACGGAGGUUCCGAGCGUUAUCCGGAUUUAUUGGGCUUAAAGGGAGCGUAGGCGGACAGUUAAGUCAGUUGUGAAAGCUUGCGGCUCAACCGUAAAAUUGCAGUUGAUACUGGAUAUCUUGAGUGCAGUUGAGGCAGGCGGAAUUCGUGGUGUAGCGGUGAAAUGCUUAGAUAUCACGAAGAACACCGAUUGCGAAGGCAGCCUGCUAAGCUGCAACUGACAUUGAGGCUCGAAAGUGUGGGUAUCAAACAGGAUUAGAUGCCCUGGUAGUCCACACGGUAAACGAUGAAUACUCGCUGUUUGCGAUAUACAGCAAGCGGCCAAGCGAAAGCGUUAAGUAUUCCACCUGGGGAGUACGCCGGCAACGGUGAAACUCAAAUGAAUUGGCGGGG
rnacentral:rRNA from 1 species